GAGGAAACCUUGGAGCCCAGUGCACUGGUCAGCCUGCAGGAAAACAAGGAUUAUAAAAUGUUGUCACCUGGAUCAAUUUGGUUUCUCCAUCGACAAUGCUGCACAUCUAACACUUUAGAAUUUGAGCUCACCAGUUUACGAGUCCUGUCCAGAACCAGGUCGAUUAUCUCCUUGCCAAUUGUGUAGUGACCACGAGCAUAGUUGUUUGCUGCAUCCUCCUUUCCGGUGAUCAGCUGCUCAGGAUGGAAGAGCUGUCGGUAGGUGCCUGUACGUACCUCAUCUGUAAUGUAAAGCAUUGCCAACACAUUAAAAUGUUUGCAAAUCCAA